rnacentral:rRNA from 1 species
GUUUUUUAUUUUUUAGGCACACGGUGGAUGCCUGGGCAUGGCAAGCUGAUGAAGGACGUGGUGGGCUGCGUUAAGCCUCGGGGAGUUGCCGUAUGAGCGUUGAUCCGAGGAUGUCCGAAUGGGGAAACCUAGCCCUCAGUGAUGGGGGUUACCGUAUGAUGAAUUCAUAGUUGUGCGGGAGUGGCCGGGGAAGUGAAACAUCUUAGUACCUGGUGUGUAAGAAAACAAUUGUGAUUUUGUGAGUAGUGGCGAACGAAAGCGAAUUUUUGACUAAACUGCAUGCAGCGUGAUGCCUUGGUUGGGGUGUUGUGUGUGGGGUUGUGGGGUCUGCGUUGGUGGUCAACCUUUUUGCCACCAGCCUUUAGCGCAUGCGUAGCGGAAGUGGUGUGGAAUCGCCUGCCGGAGUAGGUGAGAGUCCUGUACGUGAAAUGUGUGUGCUUGGGUGUGCGUGGUGUCCCCGAGUAGCAGUGGGCUCGUGGAAUCUGCUGUGAAUCUGCCGGGACCGUCCGGUAAGUCUGAUAACUUGCUUGUGACCGAUAGUGUAUGAGUACCGUGAGGGAAUGGUGAAAAGUACCCCGGGAGGGGAGUGAAAUAGUUCCUGAAACCGUGUGUUGACAAUCCGUCAGAGCCUCUUUUAAUGGGGUGAUGGCGUGCCUUUUGAAGAAUGAGCCUGCGAGUCAGCGGCAUGUCGCUUUAAAGUUAACUAUUUGUUGUAGGUAGCUGGAGGGAAACCGAAUCCUAAUGUAGGGUGUUGGUGGCAUGUUCUGGACCCGAAGCGGGGUGAUCUACCCAUGGCCAGUGUGAAGCAAGGGUAAGACUUUGUGGAGGCGCGAACCCACGUAGGUUGAAAACUGCGGGGAUGAGUUGUGGGUAGGGGUGAAAGGCCAAUCAAACUCCGUGAUAGCUGGUUCUCCCCGAAAUGCAUUUAGGUGCAGCGUCGUUGGUAGUGCUGCGGAGGUAGAGCUACUGGUUGAUUGAGCGGGAUUUUGUCUUAGUGACGUCAGCCAAACUCCGAAUGCCGUAUGUAUGGUCCACGGCAGUGAGACUGCGGGGGAUAAGCUUCGUAGUCGAGAGGGAAACAGCCCAGAUCGCCGGUUAAGGCCCCUAAGGGUGUGCUAAGUGGAAAAGGAUGUGUAAUCGCGAUGACAGCCAGGAGGUUGGCUUAGAAGCAGCCAUCCUUGAAAGAGUGCGUAAUAGCUCACUGGUUAAGUGGUUGUGCGCCGACAAUGUAGUGGGGCUUAAGUACACCGCCGAAACCGCGGCAAGAAUGUUUUUUGUUUUUGGGUAGGGGAGCGUCGUGCAUUGUGUGAAGCCUGCUGGUAACGGUUGGUGGAUGUGUGUGCGAGUGAGAAUGCAGGCAUGAGUAGCGAAUGGUAGGUGGAAAUCCUACCCGCCGGAUGACUAAGGGUUCCUGGGUGAAGCUGGUCUUCCCAGGGUGAGUCGGGACCUAAGGCGAGGCCGACAGGCGUAGUCGAUGGAUAACCAGUUGAUAUUCUGGUACCCGCGCAUGUGCGACAAAUGGUGAAUCAUUGAUACUAACCACCCAUGGAGAUCAACGUUUUCCUGCAUUUUUGAUGUGGGGUGUUGUUUUUUGUGUGUGGGACCUGAUGUGGUAGUAGCCACGUGAUGGGGUGACACAGUAGGGUAGCCGCGCCACUUAGUGGAUUGUGGUGUAAGCGUGUGGCACGAGGACGUGUUAAAUGCCGUUCUCAUUUAUGUGUGAGGCGUGAUGCGUAGCCUGUUAAAGGGUGAUGGUGGUGAUCCUGUGCUGUCGAGAAAAGCCUCUAGCGAGUGCAAGUGUGGCCCGUACCCCAAACCGACACAGGUGGUCAGGUUGAGAAUACUAAGGCGAACGGGUGAACUAUGGUUAAGGAAUUCGGCAAAAUGCCCCCGUAACUUCGGGAGAAGGGGGACCCAUGACCGUUGCUGACAGCAACUAGUGCGGUUGUGGGGCGCAGAGAAUAGAGGGAAGCGACUGUUUACCAAAAACAUAGGUCUGUGCGAAGAAGGUUAAUUCGAUGUAUACGGACUGACGCCUGCCCGGUGCUGGAAGGUUAAGAGGACCUGUUAGAUCAUUUUGUGGUCGAAGCGGAGAAUUUAAGCCCCAGUAAACGGCGGUGGUAACUAUAACCAUCCUAAGGUAGCGAAAUUCCUUGUCGGGUAAGUUCCGACCUGCACGAAUGGCGUAACGACUUCUCUGCUGUCUCGACCAUAGGCCCGGUGAAAUUGCAGUACGAGUAAAGAUGCUCGUUUCGCGCGGCAGGACGAAAAGACCCCGGGACCUUCACUAUAGCUUGGUAUUGGUGUUCGGUUCGGUUUGUGUAGCAUAGGUGGGAGACGUUGAGGCGUGCACGCUAGUGCGCGUGGAGUCGGAAGGUGAAAUACCACUCUGAUCGGAUUGGAUGUCUAACUUCGGGCCAUGAUCUGGUUUCAAGGACAGUGCCUGGUGGGUAGUUUAACUGGGGCGGUUGCCUCCCAAAAUGUAACGGAGGCGCCCAAAGGUUCCCUCAGCCUGGUUGGCAAUCAGGUGUUUAGAGUGUAAGUGCAUAAGGGAGCUUGACUGUGAGACGGACAUGUCGAGCAGGUACGAAAGUAGGGACUAGUGAUCCGGCACCGAUGUACGGAAGUGGUGUCGCUCAACGGAUAAAAGGUACCCCGGGGAUAACAGGCUGAUCUUCCCCAAGAGUUCAUAUCGACGGGAUGGUUUGGCACCUCGAUGUCGGCUCGUCGCAUCCUGGGGCUGGAGUAGGUCCCAAGGGUUGGGCUGUUCGCCCAUUAAAGCGGCACGCGAGCUGGGUUCAGAACGUCGUGAGACAGUUCGGUCUCUAUCCGCCGCGCGCGUUAAGAAACUUGAGAAAGGCUGUCCCUAGUACGAGAGGACCGGGAUGGACGUACCUCUAGUGUGCCAGCUGUCACGCCCGUGGCACGGCUGGUUGGCUACGUACGGGAAGGAUAACCGCUGAAAGCAUCUAAGCGGGAAGCCUGUUUCAAGAUAAGGUUUCUUAGGUUCCCUAUAGACGAUGGGGUUGAUAGGCCAGAAUUGGAAGGUGGGUAACCACCGAAGGUGACUGGUACUAAUAACCAUACUUUUAAAAAACAC